UACGAAGGGGGGCUAGCGUUGCUCGGAAUCACUGGGCGUAAAGCGCACGUAGGCGGCUUUUUAAGUCAGGGGUGAAAUCCUGGAGCUCAACUCCAGAACUGCCUUUGAUACUGAGAAGCUUGAGUCCGGGAGAGGUGAGUGGAACUGCGAGUGUAGAGGUGAAAUUCGUAGAUAUUCGCAAGAACACCAGUGGCGAAGGCGGCUCACUGGCCCGAUACUGACGCUGAGGCACGAAAGCGUGGGGAGCAAACAGG
rnacentral:rRNA from 1 species